rnacentral:rRNA from 1 species
CCUACGGGAGGCAGCAGUGAGGAAUAUUGGUCAAUGGCCGCAAGUCUGAACCAGCCAAGUCGCGUGAGGGACGACUGCCCUAUGGGUUGUAAACCUCUUUUAUGCGGGGAUAAUAUAUGCUACGUGUAGCAUGUUGCCUGUACCUUAUGAAUAAGCAUCGGCUAACUCCGUGCCAGCAGCCGCGGUAAUACGGAGGAUGCGAGCGUUAUCCGGUUUUAUUGGGUUUAAAGGGUGCGUAGGCGGUCUUUUAAGGUUGUGGUAAAACGGCGGGGCUACACCUUGAUUUGCCAUUAAGACUGUGAGACUUGAGUGCAGACGAGGUAGGCGGAAUAAGUGAAGUAGCGGUGAAAUGCUUAGAUAUCACUUAGAACUCCGAUAGCGAAGGCAGCCUACCAUAGCGUUACUGACGCUGAGGCACGAGAGCGCGGGUAGCGAACAGGAUUAGAUACCCGAGUAGUC